CCUACGGGAGGCAGCAGUGAGGUAUAUUGGUCAAUGGACGAGAGUCUGAACCAGCCAAGUAGCGUGAAGGAUGACUGCCCUAUGGGUUGUAAACUUCUUUUAUAUGGGAAUAAAAUGUUCCACGUGUGGGAUUUUGUAUGUACCAUAUGAAUAAGGAUCGGCUAACUCCGUGCCAGCAGCCGCGGUAAUACGGAGGAUCCGAGCGUUAUCCGGAUUUAUUGGGUUUAAAGGGAGCGUAGGUGGAUUGUUAAGUCAGUUGUGAAAGUUUGCGGCUCAACCGUAAAAUUGCAGUUGAAACUGGCAGUCUUGAGUACAGUAGAGGUGGGCGGAAUUCGUGGUGUAGCGGUGAAAUGCUUAGAUAUCACGAAGAACUCCGAUUGCGAAGGCAGUUCACUGGACUGCAACUGACACUGAGGCUCGAAAGUGUGGGUAUCAAACAGGAUUAGAUACCCCAGUAGUC
rnacentral:rRNA from 1 species